UUUUUUUUUUUUUUUUUUUUUAAACUGCCGGCCUCUAAGUCUACCAAACUAAGAGAAGGCGGCUGGCUCCCUUGUUACAGCAAGCUUUGAAUGAAUAGCCUGUUCUCAUUGGUGGUCUUCGUUUAUUUUAUUUCCACACAGCCUAAGGAAAGGUGGUAGAGAAGUGUGAAAAAGCUGUUCUUGAGAUUUUUUAAUUCCCUUUAAUUUGUUCAUCUAAAUUUGUAGUAUGUGGUCUCCCACCCAGCUUUUAAAACAUCCACUCAUUUAAGGGAAUAACUGGCAUCUUGUGCCCAUCCCGGAGAAAGAAUGGCUAAGUGGUUCUUUAAGAAAAUGUUGAAGUAUGAGGCCUCACUGUCUUUCCAAGUAGCAGGAAUGUGAAGGGGAGGAGAGCAAAAAGGGAGUGGGAGGGAGGAGAGCCUAGGGAUUUAAAACAGGCCACAGCCCGCUCAGGUCUCUUUCCCUAGACCGCUCAGACCAGCCAAAGGAAAGGGAUGUGUUCAUAAAUAAACUGUUACCUUCAAAGGGGGCCUGACUGAGGUCUUGACAAAAACCAAAAGUGAGGUGCCAUUUCUUCUGCAGCCAAGAGCAGAAUAUGAAAUAGCUGCCUAUUCUCACCUAAAAAUCUGCCAGGGUUAAAACCUUUCAAGAGUCUGCAUAAUAUUGUUAUAAGAUUGUCAGAUAUCCCUCCAGUUUGUUUAUGUCAGCCCUUUUCAGCUUUCCGAUGAGAAAUAUAGAUGAUAUAGAAUUAAACUAUUAACCCUUGGCCCUUUUCUUCUUGGUUCAUAGAUCCGGUGGUUGAUAGAUCCAAUUCAACUAUCUCAAGAUCUUUUUUUCUCCCUAGUUCAAACAGAUUAAUAAGAACAGUAGAAAAAUAUGACACAGGUGAAUUAUUUGAUAGUGCACGUAGUAUCUUUAUAAAAUGUUUCUUUCAAGUAUUGCAUGAGGAGUUCCCAGGCUAAGGGUCUAAUUGGAGCUAUUGCUGCGGGCCUACACAAAAGCCACAGCAACGCCAGAUGUGAGCCAUGUCUUCGACCUAGACCACAGCUCAUGGCAAUGCUGGAUCCUUAACCCACUGAGCGAGGCUAGGGAUCGAACCCACAACCUCAUGGUCCCUGGUCUGAUUUGUUUCUCCUGCGCCAUGAUGGGAACUCCUGUAUUGGUCAUUGUCAUUUUGUUUUUAGUCACUCUCAAUUCUCCUGUCCUACUUUUUUUCAACUAGAUGCUGUUAGCUAAAAUGUUUGGCCUGGAUUGUUGCUGCCUCCUAGAGAUUCUGUCUAUAGGAAAGAUAUCUUAAAAAAGAUUCGUAAAUGGAAUUGAGAUUUUCAGUAGCUCUGUUUAAAACACGCAGGACUCUGUGUGUGUGUGUGUGUGUGUGUGUGAAUGAGGUUCGAAUAAAAAUACUAUUUGGAAUUUGAUCACAAUAAUGGGUACUCCCCCAGCAAAUACUGUUUGCCAGUCUCACAGAGUAUCUGUAUUUACCUAAAAAUAACUAAAAGAAAGAAAAAGAAUCACAACUUACACUGAUUCAUCUUCAAUUUAUAAUAUUUAGAAUCUAGAAUUCCAAGUAAUUUGAACCUGGGGAAUAUACAUAUGUGAUACUAUCUUAAAAAACCCAAAUGUUUUUAAUAUGCUAUAAUAGAUUUCACACUUUUGACUUCCUGUUAUUUUUUUAAGCAAACAUAAUAGUUUUUUUUUAACUUAAACUACAAGCAAAUGUAUUCAUUACCUAGAAAAAAAUUCACCCACAUCUUAUCCUCAAUAAAAUGAUUAUAUCACACCUGGCUAAGUUUUACAAUACAACAUUUUUCCUCUUUCACAAUCAGCAAAAUAUUUUGAUUUUCUAAAAGAAAUUUCAACAGAUAAAGUUCUUUUCAAUAUGCUCAAGCAAUAUCUGGGAAUUACUAGCCAAGACUUAAGGCUAAUAGGCCCAAGGAGCCAAGUACCAUUUUCUUUGGACUUCACAGCAGGUAGAAAUUGCCUCUUCAAUUUAUACACCUGAAGAAAAUGAAGCAGCAUCAGCCUACUGAGAGCUUGACAAAGAAAGAAAUCCUCAGAGAGGUGCAAGUACUGCCCUGAAGUUAAUGCAUACUAAGCAGAUGUAUCUAAUCACAGAGAGACCGCAUUUGGCACAUUUUUGUUGCAAUAAAUGUUCCGCUUCCAGAAUAAACUCAAGUUGAAAAAUAAGAAAGCAAUAUUGCAAACAAGGAAGGAAGUGAGUGGGUUAAACACAUUUCCCCCAAACUAUCAGGUUUUGGUUUACAGAAUUUAUAUUCAUCUCCCCCUUCCCGGGUACCACAACCAGCUAGCUCAGCUCACCAAAUUUGGCCUCAUCAGAUCCCAGCAUUGUUUGUGUUCUGGUCAUCACCCAGAGAAUUCUAGCUAUUCAUUUUGCCUCCUCAAUUUUCCCUCCUGUGCACCAGCUACUCAUUAACUUGAAAAUAAUGUAUGCUGGUAAGACACUGAAGUCUGGAAGCUAGUUUGUUGUUGUUUUUCCUUUUUCAGCUGCACCCAUGGCAUGUGGAAGUUGCCUACAGCACAGCUGGAUGCUGGAUGAUGGAUCCUUAAUUCCCUGUACAAGCUGGGGAAUCAAACUGGCAACACCAGAGACAAGCUGGGUCAUUAACCCACUGCACCACAGCAGGAAACUAGUUCUUUAGGUAUAAAUUUAAUUUGACCUCCUAGGAUCAAAACAGAACUGACACCAUCCCCCAUGAUGCUUUGAUGUUCUUGGGUGCUUUCCAAGUUAGGUUAGGUUGCUGAUGGGUGAUGUUGAUAGGGGUCUCUGGCAAUCCUAUGGAAUUGUCGUGGAGUGGGUAUGUGCCUGGUGCCUCCUUUGUACCCAGGACCUUGUAACAACAUUAUAUUUCUGAAUGACCUUCUCAGAAGGGCAGAAACAAUCAUGACAAAAUGCCCAGCCCUGAUUUCCUGGCCCUAGUCAAUCUGCAGGGCCUUCUAUUGAUCCUUGAAGAUAAAACUUAGGUAUCUUAGGUGAUCUUAGGUAUGAGCUGUGGGAAGCUAGCUUAUAGCUAUGGAGUGGGCAGUCUCUGCAGUCUUGAGUGCCAGGGUUGGAUUAAGUAACAUCUACAGCUACCAGGACCAGACAAGGAACAAAGGAAGACAUUAUUUCAGUGCAGAGUUCUCCUCUGUGACCUUCCUAGCUCUUUAACUGCUUGAUGAAUUUUAAAGAUCAUUCUUUAUGUCAGCCCCCUCCUAAAUAACCCCUGAGUGUCUCCCAGUUCUUUUUUACCAUUUGGAGUCUUCAUUCCAUUGGCAGAUUGGGUCUGUCAAUGGGCCCAUCCAGUCUGAUUUCCCGUUCUCUCUCGAAAGCCUGUGUUGCCCUGAUCUCCUCAGGACCCAUUCCCUCACCUUCCAUUGUUUCCCUCAGAAACUCUCAUUUCUUUGGGAGCAAUCUCAAGCCCAUUCAAAACCCAGCAGAUUCCCACAAGCAGAUUCCCUACCCUCCCCGCUUCCCACUCCCUUGCUCCUGCCCAGCCAGAGGCCAGAUACUGAGUCAGUCAGAUCUGGGUUCAAAUCCCAGUUUUUCCACUUAUUAACUCUAUAAACUUGGGAAUCUUUUUAAAUUUCCGAGCUCCUGUUACUUCAUUUAUAAAAUGGAAAUAAAAGAACCUAGAGCUCUGUGAGAGUGAGAAUUUGUAUAAACUGCUUAUUUUCGUAGUCAGAAAAUAGCACUCAAAAAAAAAAAAGUGGUGUUGCCAUCGUUAUUUUAUCAACUUUCACCUGAACCUCUGCUUUUUCUAUCAGAUUAGAGCCUGUGGUUGGCCAGUUCUUUUUCCCCAGCCUGUAUCACCUCUUAUUCUUCAACUUAGUACUCUACCAACCUCAGUAAACAAGAGCCAUGCUCUAAUUCCACAGCUUCUGCUCCAGGAAUGUUAUUGCCGGAGAGAGCCCCAUAACCAGGCUGACUGGCCCAACAGCUGAGCCCUUUCUGAGGCCCUUCGACCUCUUUCUGGUGGUUCUUCAUCAUGGCUGGUCAUUAACAUCAACACAAGCACUUUUUUUUUGGCCACACUCGUGGCAUGUAGAAGUUCCUGGGCCAGAUAUUGAACACACGCCAUAGCAGUGACAAUGCCAGAUCCUUAACCUACUGAGCCAUCAGAGAAUUCCGACACAGGCCCUUUUGAAAAUGCCAGGUGCCGAUUUUUUUCUACUAUCUUUAUCCCUUCCCUUCACCCACAUCCUCCCCAAAUUCAUCAAGCAAGCAUUUGAGGACUGUGGUGUACUAGACACAAUUUCCUUUUCAAAUUUCGAUUUGGAUUUGAAUGUAUGAUUUGAUGCUUAUCUAUGUUCAGGCAGAAAGAGGCAUGAGUAAUUUUGAGUUUGAAAUCUCUUCCAGAAGACAAAGUACUUCAGUGAGUAAAGCUUUAGCAUUUUUGGUUAUAUUCAAAAAGAGGAUUAUUUGACAUGAAAUAGUAUUGUCUCUAGAUAUUCCCAUCUUCAGUUUGAAAAUAUCCAAAACUUGCAUAGGUCAUAAAGGAGGAGAGCUUUCCUUUCUGUCAAUCAUACAGAAGCAAAGGAAAUCACUUUUCCUGUACGUAUCACUUGGGAAAGGAGUGAGCUUAUCUUUCAAUUGUUUUGAGUUUUACUUGUGUAUUUAAUUUAGCAUUCUUUUGUUGAGUCGCAAGAUUUAUGGAAAAAUAAAUGUUUAAUGCUGAGAAAGAAAGAUAGGGAAAGAGAGAGAGAUGGAGUUCCUGUUGUGGCUCAGUGGAAACGAAUCCGACUAGGAACCAUGAGGUUGCCGGUUCAAUCCCUGGCCCUGCUCAGUGGGUUAAGGAUCCGGCAUUGCCGUCAGCUGUGGUAUAUGUCACAGACGCGGCUCAGAUCUGACAUUGCUGUGGCUGCGGUGUAGGCAGAUGGCUACAGCUCCAAUUAGACCCCUAGCCUGGGAACCUCCAUAUGCCAUGGGUGCGGCCCUAAAAAUACAAAAAAAAAAAAAAAAAAAAAAAAAAAA
rnacentral:lncRNA from 9 species